rnacentral:rRNA from 1 species
CCUACGGGAGGCAGCAGUGGGGGAUAUUGCACAAUGGGGGAAACCCUGAUGCAGCGACGCCGCGUGUGGGAAGACGGUCCUCUGGAUUGUAAACCACUGUCCCCAGGGACGAAGAUGACGGUACCUGGGGAGGAAGCUCCGGCUAACUACGUGCCAGCAGCCGCGGUAAUACGUAGGGAGCGAGCGUUGUCCGGAAUUACUGGGUGUAAAGGGAGCGUAGGCGGGACUGCAAGUUGGGUGUCAAAUCUACCGGCUCAACCGGUAGCCGCACUCAAAACUGCAGUUCUUGAGUGAAGUAGAGGCAGGCGGAAUUCGUAGUGUAGCGGUGAAAUGCGUAGAUAUUAGGAGGAACACCAGUGGCGAAGGCGGCCUGCUGGGCUUUUACUGACGCUGAGGCUCGAAAGUGUGGGGAGCGAACAGGAUUAGAUACCCGAGUAGUC